GUACAACAGAACGAAGGAGGAUUAAAGGGAGUUCCAAGGCACACAAAAACAUAAGAACAGGAACAGAAGAAUGCUGAGAUUACAGGUGCUGUCACCAUGCCCGAGAGGACUGCAUCCAAGGCUUCACAUGCUAAGCAAGUACCCACCAACUACACAACUUUCAACUAGUGUAAAUACUUAGAAUUAGCACUGUAGAGUUUGACCUGAAGACUAAAGGAAGAUCAAGAGCUCAAGACCAGCUACACAGUUGUACUAUUUUUCAGAGAUAUUCACAUGAACUGUUGAAAAGCCCUUUUUUCUUUAUAGGAACUAAUUUGAUUGCAAUAAUGAUUGAAGACAUCAAGUGAAAGAGUCAUGAUCAAGUCAAUGAAUCCUCUUGCUCAGCAACAAACUAAGCACGCUGAUUCCACCAUGACAGUGUUCUAACAAAAGCUCUGAUGGGAGCUGUUUGCUGUAAAACUAUCAUCCUUUUUUUCUGUUCUCCCUACUUGAAAAAUGAGUGUGCUUAACAAUCAUGUAAAAGUUCAAGCGCAA